UAAUUGUUAUUUGGUUCAUGCUCUUAUUUUUUUGCUAAAGCAGGCUCCUGGCACAAGUUGGAGGAAAGUAAUCGAGAAUCUUGACCAUAGUGGAUUUGAGAUCCCCAAUAAGGAAUCUUUCUCGUUUUUCAUGCGGCUAUAUAAAACUGCUUGCAAGGACCCGUUUCCUCUUGAUGCUGUAUGCGGUUCUGUCUG